UACGUAGGGGGCAAGCGUUGUCCGGAAUCAUUGGGCGUAAAGAGCGUGUAGGCGGCCCGGUAAGUCCGCUGUGAAAGUCCAGGGCUCAACCCUGGGAUGCCGGUGGAUACUGGCGGGCUCGAGUCCGGAAGAGGAGUGUGGAAUUCCUGGUGUAGCGGUGAAAUGCGCAGAUAUCAGGAGGAACACCAAUGGCGAAGGCAGCACUCUGGGACGUGACUGACGCUGAGACGCGAAAGCGUGGGGAGCAAACAGG
rnacentral:rRNA from 1 species